rnacentral:rRNA from 1 species
UACAGAGGUCUCAAGCGUUGUUCGGAUUCAUUGGGCGUAAAGGGUGCGUAGGUGGCGCCGUAAGUCGGGUGUGAAAUUUCGGAGCUUAACUCCGAAACUGCAUUCGAUACUGCGGUGCUUGAGGACUGGAGAGGAGACUGGAAUUCAUGGUGUAGCAGUGAAAUGCGUAGAGAUCAUGAGGAAGACCAGUGGCGAAGGCGGGUCUCUGGACAGUUCCUGACACUGAGGCACGAAGGCCAGGGGGAGCAAAACGGGG